AGUGAGCGGCAAAGCUCAAAUUUGAAAUCUGGCGCCUUCGGUGUCCGAGUUGUAAUUUGAAGAUUGUAACCUUGGGGUUGGCUCUUGUCUAUGUUUCUUGGAACAGGACGUCACAGAGGGUGAGAAUCCCGUGCGAUGAGAUGCCCAAUCCUAUGUAAGGUGCUUUCGAAGAGUCGAGUUGUUUGGGAAUGCAGCUCUAAGUGGGUGGUAAAUUCCAUCUAAAGCUAAAUAUUGGCGAGAGACCGAUAGCGAACAAGUACAGUGAUGGAAAGAUGAAAAGAACUUUGAAAAGAGAGUGAAAAAGUACGUGAAAUUGUUGAAAGGGAAGGGUUUGAGAUCAGACUCGAUAUUUUGUGAGCCUUGCCUUCGUGGCGGGGUGACCCGCARCUUAUCGGGCCAGCAUCGGUUUGGGCGGUAGGAUAAUGGCGUAGGAAUGUGACUUUACUUCGGUGAAGUGUUAUAGCCUGCGUUGAUGCUGCCUGCCUAGACCGAGGACUGCGAUUUUAUCAAGGAUGCUGGCAUAAUGAUCCCAAACCGCCCGUCUUGAAA
rnacentral:rRNA from 1 species